rnacentral:rRNA from 1 species
UACGUAGGGGGCAAGCGUUGUCCGGAAUCAUUGGGCGUAAAGCGCGUGUAGGCGGCUCGAUAAGUCUGUUCUGAAAGUCCAGGGCUCAACCCUGGGAUGCGGAUGGAUACUGUCGAGCUCGAGUCCGGAAGAGGCGAGUGGAAUUCCUGGUGUAGCGGUGAAAUGCGCAGAUAUCAGGAAGAACACCCGUGGCGAAGGCGGCUCUCUGGAACGCAACUGACGCUGAGACGCGAAAGCGUGGGGAGCAAACAGG